CUUUGAUCUCUUGAUAGUACUUGCCACAUUAGUGGAGAUAGGAGUAGGGGAUUUGUCUAUGGGAUUGGAAAAAUUACCUAUUCAUUCAUUAAUUCCAUCAUUCUAUAUAGAGACACUUUGCCUAUUGAUUGUCCUAGAAUUCCUUUUGAGCAUGACUUUCUCUUUUGAUUGGUUGGUUUUGGGAUUUUGAAUGAUAAUUUACUUGAUGGCUAAGCGGUGAAAGC
rnacentral:misc_RNA from 1 species